UGGCUCAGGACGAACGCUGGCGGCGUGCCUAACACAUACAAGUCGAACGGGGUUACCCUUCGGUCAAAUGAGUUAACUUAGUGGCGGACGGGUGAGUAACGCGUGAGCAACCUGCCUUACAGAGGGGGACAACAGUUGGAAACGACUGCUAAUACCGCAUAACGUGCCGGAAGGACAUCCUUUUGGUACCAAAGGAGCAAUCCGCUGUAAGAUGGGCUCGCGUCCGAUUAGAUAGUUGGUGAGGUAACGGCCCACCAAGUCGACGAUCGGUAGCCGGACUGAGAGGUUGAACGGCCACAUUGGGACUGAGACACGGCCCAGACUCCUACGGGAGGCAGCAGUGGGGGAUAUUGCACAAUGGAGGAAACUCUGAUGCAGCAACGCCGCGUGAGGGAAGAAGGUUUUCGGAUUGUAAACCUCUGUUUUUAGUGAAGAAACAAAUGACGGUAGCUAAAGAGGAAGCCACGGCUAACUACGUG
rnacentral:rRNA from 1 species